GCCUUGCCAGCCCGCUCAGAAACUACGAAAGGAAGUUGACGGGGGCCCGCACAAGCGGUGGAGUAUGUGGUUUAAUUCGAUGCAACGCGAAGAACCUUACCUGGUCUUGACAUCCCGGAGACCCUUAGGAAACUAGGGGGUGCUUCCAUCUGGAAGAAUCUGGAGACAGGUGCUGCAUGGCUGUCGUCAGCUCGUGUCGUGAGAUGUUGGGUUAAGUCCCGCAACGAGCGCAACCCUUGCCUUUAGUUGCCAGCAGUUCGGCUGGGCACUCUAAAGGGACUGCCGGUGUUAAACCGGAGGAAGGUGGGGAUGACGUCAAGUCCUCAUGGCCUUUAUGACCAGGGCUACACACGUACUACAAUGGCCGAUACAAAGGGCAGCGACACUGCGAGGUGAAGCCAAUCCCGUAAAAUCGGUCUCAGUCCGGAUUGGAGUCUGCAACUCGACUCCAUGAAGUUGGAAUCGCUAGUAAUCGUGGAUCAGCAUGCCACGGUGAAUACGUUCCCGGGCCUU
rnacentral:rRNA from 1 species